GACGGUAUAGCUCAAAGGCAGAGCACAUGCUUAGCAUGCAUGAGGGUCUGGGUUCAAUCACCAGUACCUACU
rnacentral:tRNA from 1 species